rnacentral:rRNA from 1 species
GAUGAACGCUGGCGGCGUGCCUAAUACAUGCAAGUCGAGCGAACGGACGAGAAGCUUGCUUCUCUGAUGUUAGCGGCGGACGGGUGAGUAACACGUGGAUAACCUACCUAUAAGACUGGGAUAACUUCGGGAAACCGGAGCUAAUACCGGAUAAUAUUUUGAACCGCAUGGUUCAAAAGUGAAAGACGGUCUUGCUGUCACUUAUAGAUGGAUCCGCGCUGCAUUAGCUAGUUGGUAAGGUAACGGCUUACCAAGGCAACGAUGCAUAGCCGACCUGAGAGGGUGGUCGGCCACACGGGAGGUGAGCCACGGUACAGACUACUACGGGAGGCAGCAGUGGGGAAGAUUCAGCAAUGGGCGAAAGCUUGACGGAGUAACUCAGCGGGAGUGAUGAAGGUCUUAGGAUCGUAAACCUCUGUUAUUAGGGAAUAACAUAAGUGUAAGGAAAAGUGCCCAGCUUGACGGUACGGAAUCAGAAAGACAAGGCUAAUGACGGG